rnacentral:rRNA from 1 species
UAAGGUCAAGUUAAUAAGAGCAUUAGGUGAAUGCCUAGGCACCAAGAGGCGACGAAGGACGUGACAAGCUGCGAAAAGCUGUGGUUAGGAGCAAAUAUCCGUCAACCCACAGAUAUCCGAAUGGGGCAACCCACCUCGUAAGAGGUAUCCAUAAGUGAAUUCAUAGCUUAUGGAGGCGAACCAGGUGAACUGAAACAUCUAAGUAACCUGAGGAAAAGAAAGAAACAUCGAUACCCUAAGUAGCGGCGAGCGAACGGGGUAGAGCCCGACAGUGCAUAAGAUUAAGAUAGCUAGUAGAAUCAUCUGGGAAGAUGAACCAAAGAAGGUAACAGUCCUGUAAACGAAAGCGACAAUAAAUCAGCACGAGCGAGUACCACGGGGCACGUGAAACCCAGUGGGAAUAAGGGAGGACCACCUCCUAAGGCUAAAUACUCCUUGGUGACCGAUAGAGAACAAGUACCGUGAGGGAAAGGUGAAAAGAACCCCGGGAGGGGAGUGAAAAAGAAUCUGAAACCUAAUGUUUACAAGCAGCGAAAGAGGUCUAGCACCUCAAUCGCGUACUUUUUGUAGAACGGGCCAGCGAGUUAUGGUAUAUAGCAAGGUUAAGGUAUGAAGUACUGAAGCCGAAGCGAAAGCGAGUUUUAAUAGGGCGCAAGUUAUAUGCCAUAGACCCGAAACCGUGUGAUCUAUCCAUGGGCAGAGUGAAGUUGAAGUAAAAUUCAAUGGAGGCUCGAACCGGGUAACGUUUAAAAGUUAUCGGAUGACCUGUGGAUAGGGGUGAAAAGCCAAACGAACACGGAGAUAGCUGGUUCUCCUCGAAAUAGCUUUAGGGCUAGCCUCUAGUGGCAAUCUGAUAAGGGGGUAGAGCACUGAAUAGUUGCGGGGCGUAUGACGUUACCAAAACCUAUCAAACUCCGAAUACCAAAUCAGACACUAGGGAGUCAGACAGUGUGGGAUGAGCUUCAUUGUCGAAAGGGAAAGAACCCAGACCACCAGCUAAGGUCCCAAAAUUAUAGUUAAGUGGGAAAGGAUGUGGAGUUACUUAGACAACUAGGAUGUUGGCUUAGAAGCAGCCAUACAUUUAAAGAGUGCGUAAUAGCUCACUAGUCAAGUGACUCUGCGCCGAAGAUAACCGGGGCUAAACUAUAUACCGAAGCUGUGGGACGUAAUAACGUCGGUAGAGGAGCAAUGUGUAAGAGACGAAGCAAAAGGCGAAAGCCGUUGUGGAUUUUACAGAAGAGAGAAUGCUGGCAUGAGUAGCGAGAGGUGAGUGAGAAUCUCACCCGUCGAAAACCCAAGGUUUCCUGAGGAAGGCUCGUCCACUCAGGGUAAGUCGGGACCUAAGGCGAGGCUGAAAAGCGUAGUCGAUGGACAACAGGUUGAGAUUCCUGUACCGAUAUAUAUUGUUAAAAAGUAAGUGGGGACGCAGGAGGAUAGUAGUAGCGCCCAGUUGGUGAGGCGUGCAAGCACAAAGGCUGGAGUAUAGGCAAAUCCGUACUCUAAAAAGGCUAAAGUGUGAUGCGGAUCGAAAAAUAAGUAGAGAAGGAUAUGACUCCACACUGCCAAGAAAAGCCACUAUCAAGAUAUAUAUUGCCCGUACCGUAAACCGACACAGGUAGGUGAGGAGAGAAUCCUAAGACGAGCGGAAGAACCUUUGUUAAGGAACUCGGCAAAAUGACCCCGUAACUUCGGGAUAAGGGGAGCCACAGAGAUGUGGCCGCAGUGAAAAGGCCCAAGCGACUGUUUACCAAAAACACAAGUCUCUGCGAAGUCGAAAGACGAAGUAUAGGGGCUGACACCUGCCCGGUGCUGGAAGGUUAAGGGAAAGAGUUAGCGCAAGCGAAGCUUAGAACUGAAGCCCCAGUAAACGGCGGCCGUAACUAUAACGGUCCUAAGGUAGCGAAAUUCCUUGUCGGGUAAGUUCCGACCCGCACGAAAGGUGUAACGAUUUGGGCACUGUCUCAACAAAGGAUCCGGUGAAAUUGUAGUAGCGGUAAAGAUGCCGCUUACCCACGACAGGACGGAAAGACCCCGUGGAGCUUUACUGUAGGUUGACAUUGGAUUUUGAGGUUAAAUGUACAGGAUAGGUGGGAGGCUGUGAAUUUAGUACGCCAGUAUUAAUGGAGCCGCUGUUGGGAUACCACUCUUUUAAGCUUAGAAUUCUAACCUACUCCCUUGAAUCAGGGAGAGGGACACUGUCAGUCGGGCAGUUUGACUGGGGCGGUCGCCUCCGAAAGAGUAACGGAGGCGUUCAAAGGUUCCCUCAGCACGGAUGGAAAUCGUGCGAAGAGUGUAAAGGCAAAAGGGAGCUUAACUGCGAGACCAACAAGUCGAGCAGAUAGGAAACUAGGACUUAGUGAUCCGGUGGUACCGAGUGGAAGGGCCAUCGCUCAACGGAUAAAAGCUACCCCGGGGAUAACAGGCUUAUCUCCCCCAAGAGUCCACAUCGACGGGGAGGUUUGGCACCUCGAUGUCGGCUCGUCUCAUCCUGGGGCUGAAGUAGGUCCCAAGGGUUGGGCUGUUCGCCCAUUAAAGAGGCACGCGAGCUGGGUUCAGAACGUCGUGAGACAGUUCGGUCCCUAUCCGUCGUGGGCGUAGGAAAUUUGAGAGGAGCUGUCCUUAGUACGAGAGGACCGGGAUGGACAAACCUCUGGUGCAUCAGUUGUUCUGCCAAGGGCACAGCUGAGUAGCUAAGUUUGGAAGGGAUAAGAGCUGAAGGCAUCUAAGCACGAAGCCCCCCUCGAGAUGAGAUUUCCCUCAUAAGAUAAGACCCCUUGAAGAAAAUGAGGUAGAUAGGCUCAAGGUGAAAGAGCAGUAAUGUUUGAAGCUAAUGAGUACUAAUAGGUCGAAGACUUGACCAA